AAUGAACCACCUUUGGGUCGAGUCUCUGCUAGCUUGCUGGCAUUGAUUCCCCUUUGGUAUAAACCACUGUGCACCGUAAUGUUUUUUGGGAGAUUGUGGAUAGGGUAACACCGGUCCUGCUCUCAGCUGUAUCAACUAACCUAUUAAAUUUAUCUGAUUUUUUUCGUAAAUGAAAAUAAAAACAACUUUAGACAACGGAUCUCUUGGCUCU
rnacentral:misc_RNA from 1 species